UUUAUUAAAGAAGAAAAUUGGUUAAAGUUAAAUUUCAAUUUCACCAGGGCAAAUUAUAAUACGUGUAAAAUACAAAUUAUUUUAUAGUGCUGUAAAGUUACGCAGAAAAGAAAAUAAGUAGAAAAUUAAACAAUUUUUGCAAAAUUCGAGCCGAAAUUCCCAAAGUUACAAAUACGGGAAUCCACUAUGUUCCAGUUCCAUGAUUGCUGCAACUAUAUCCCUUCAAAUUCCACGCUCACAAAAUUUACUGCAACUUUUCCUCCAGAUUACAAUGAACGCUUAAACCCAUCAGUCCCCCUCGUUCUUCUGGUAGUUUUCAGCGGAAUGCAAAAUAUCCCCCCCCAACACACGCACGUGAUCACUUCCAUCAGCUCCGCCCUAAUUUGUGGACCACCCUUCGUCAAAAACAUUAUUUCAGAAGUAUCAAUAGUAAAAUUGUCGAGUUCCUGAAACAACAAGUAAUCUCUGAUCUUCUAUUUCCACCUAGGUUAUCCAUCUUAAAAUAUCUUAAAAAUAGCUUUUAAGUAAUCAGUGAACCAAUUCAGGGUCUAAUUAUUCCAAUUUUUCUAUAAAUUUUUAUACUAAUUAUCUCUCGUCGAACUUUUCUAAACAAAAUUCCUACGAAUUAAUAUUAAUUAGUUCUACUUAUAUAAAUCUGGUGAUACGCAAGGUUUGCAAAAUUUAUAGUUUUUUCUGGAUUUAGCCAACGUUCAAUGCCACGUGAUUUUAGAGCGUACAAUAACCUCUUUAUUUGGGAGAAUAUUAACGAAGUUGAAAUUACAAGAGUUUUAUGUAAUUUUGAAGGGGUAUUUAAAAUCUUUUUUGUUGUAAUCUUUAUCCAAAUACCUCCACCGCUUUUUGGUAGUUUCUCGAUUUUUGAAUUUUGAAACUUGGUAAAAAAUUGUAAAGUUCGAAAGUCUGAACAUUUUUUAUUUUGAUUUUACAAUUUAGAAUUUAGUAUUGUUGAAUCGAAUAAUUCUUACUCAAGGUUUCAUUCUCCACCUGGGUCACACGGCCUUUUCUAAAUGCUGGUCUUUUUCGGCCACCCAAUCGUCUCAUUUUACAAUAUAAUUUACAUAUUAUAAAUAUUAUGCACUCUCGCCUACCCACAACUGGGUAUAUUUACCUAGACAAACUUUUAUAAACAUACACAUAGAAUCUUAAUAGAGCAAUUUUUACAAUGUAUUUACAUAA